rnacentral:rRNA from 1 species
UACGGGGGGGGCAAGCGUUGUUCGGACUUACUGGGCGUAACGGGCGCGUAGGCGGUUGGAUAAGUCAGCUGUGAAAACCACGGGCUUAACUCGUGGCCUGCAGUUGAGACUGUCUGGCUUGAGUGUGGGAGAGGAGAGUGGAAUUCCUGGUGUAGCGGUGAAAUGCGUAGAUAUCAGGAGGAACACCGGUGGCGAAGGCGGCUCUCUGGACCACAACUGACGCUGAGGCGCGAAAGCUAGGGGAGCAAACAGG